UACGUAGGGGGCAAGCGUUGUCCGGAAUCAUUGGGCGUAAAGAGCGUGUAGGCGGCCCGAUAAGUCCGCUGUGAAAGUCCAGGGUUCAACCCUGGGAUGCCGGUGGAUACUGUCGGGCUCGAGUCCGGAAGAGGAGUGUGGAAUUCCUGGUGUAGCGGUGAAAUGCGCAGAUAUCAGGAGGAACACCGAUUGCGAAGGCAGCUCGCUGGAACGUUACUGACGCUGAGACGCGAAAGCGUGGGGAGCAAACAGG
rnacentral:rRNA from 1 species